UAUCCAUCAGUGCAACGAAUUUCUUCCGACAUGUGUCUUUGACGUCAAUGAUCUAGUUCCUAUUUCGAAAACUUUAAAAGUUCGUAGCUGCUCCUAAACGACACUUUGCUCUGCGUUACUUGAAAUUUGGUGGCAUAAGCAACAAGACAGUCCUUUUGAACCAUUGCAGCCAUGAAGUGCACAGUUAUGUUGGUCGGCCUCCUUUUGAUGUUUGUUGUAAUGGCUUUUGCGGUAUCUGAAACUGAUGCUGCAAUAGACCCUUGGAGCCGGAGACGAAGCUAUGACCCCUUCCGGAGACGAAGCUAUGACCCCUUCCGGAGACGAAGCUAUGAGCCCUUCCGGAGACGAAGCUAUGAGCCCUUUCGGAGACGAAGCUAUGAGCCCUUCCGGAGACGAAGCUAUGAGCCCUUUCGGAGACGAACUUGGGCAGGUUAAUGCAGGUGAUUCCAAAAGGACAUGAUAUUAGAAUGUGAUAGAGACAGUACUAAUGUAAAAGAAGCAAUACUCGUGUAAUGGAGGCAGCACUCGUGUAAUGGAGGCAGCACUCGUGUAAUGGAGGCAGCACUCGUGUAUUACAUACUGAAUAGCUCACUUUUUAACUAUGCGGGGAUUUAGUAAAGUUUUUUAAUUUACUUCGGUUGUUAUUUUUAUCAUGUUCUUGAAUAAAGUAAAGAGACACA